rnacentral:tRNA from 1 species
UACAAUUUAGUAUUUGAUGUACGUUAAUUUUUGAUAUUAAAAUAAUUGGUUUAAUUCCAAUAAUUGUAA